UGGGGAAUUUUGGACAAUGGGCGAAAGCCUGAUCCAGCAAUGCUGCGUGUGUGAAGAAGGCCUUCGGGUUGUAAAGCACUUUUGUCCGGAAAGAAAUCCUUGGCUCUAAUACAGUCGGGGGAUGACGGUACCGGAAGAAUAAGCACCGGCUAACUACGUGCCAGCAGCCGCGGUAAUACGUAGGGUGCAAGCGUUAAUCGGAAUUACUGGGCGUAAAGCGUGCGCAGGCGGUUUGCUAAGACCGAUGUGAAAUCCCCGGGCUCAACCUGGGAACUGCAUUGGUGACUGGCAGGCUAGAGUAUGGCAGAGGGGGGUAGAAUUCCACGUGUAGCAGUGAAAUGCGUAGAGAUGUGGAGGAAUACCGAUGGCGAAGGCAGCCCCCUGGGCCAAUACUGACGCUCAUGCACGAAAGCGUGGGGAGCAAACAGGAUUAGAUACCCUGGUAGUCCACGCCCUAAACGAUGUCAACUAGUUGUUGGGGGAUUUCAUUUUCCUUAGUAACGUAGCUAACGCGUGAAGUUGGACCGCCUGGGGAGUACGGUCGCAAGAUUAAAACUCAAAGG
rnacentral:rRNA from 1 species